UACAGAGGUCCCAAGCGUUGUUCGGAUUCACUGGGCGUAAAGGGUGCGUAGGUGGCCUGGUAAGUUUGAUGUGAAAGCUCGGAGCUUAACUCCGAAAUGGCAUUGAAUACUACUGGGCUUGAGGGUCGGAGGGGAGACUGGAAUUCUCGGUGUAGCAGUGAAAUGCGUAGAUAUCGAGAGGAACACCAGUGGCGAAGGCGAGUCUCUGGACGACACCUGACACUCAGGCACGAAAGCUAGGGGAGCAAACAGG
rnacentral:rRNA from 1 species